rnacentral:rRNA from 1 species
UACGUAGGGUGCGAGCGUUGUCCGGAAUUAUUGGGCGUAAAGGGCUCGUAGGCGGUCUGUCGCGUCUGCUGUGAAAACCUAGGGCUUAACUCUGGGCGUGCAGUGGGUACGGGCAGGCUAGAGUGCGGUAGGGGAGACUGGAAUUCCUGGUGUAGCGGUGAAAUGCGCAGAUAUCAGGAGGAACACCGGUGGCGAAGGCGGGUCUCUGGGCCGAUACUGACGCUGAGGAGCGAAAGCGUGGGGAGCGAACAGG